AUUGAAAAACUUCAGCACUAUGAAUAAUCUUUGCAAAAUCAUUGGUGGGUAUGUAAAAGCUUCUUGUUUACACACAACUGAAAGCCAAUUUAGUCACAGUUGGUAUGAUGUAAAUCUGCUGUUUUGGCAUUUUAGAAAUUCCCAUCCAAAGCAAGAUGGGGCAUAAAGUUAUCGCUAAGGAAUUUUAUCCUGCUCUAUAUUGUUCUUGAUGCACCUACUUUGGUGCAUAAAGUUGCUAAUGUCACUGCUUUAUGGUCAUGAUGUGUCUAUAUUUUGUUGGCUUGUAGUCCAAUGAUGCGUUUACCCUUAUUAAUUUUGUCAGGUCACAAUCUACAGUGUUAGAUGAGAUGCACCUCACCAGGCUAAAGGAUGUACCGAUUACUCAAUUAUUUUGUGUGGAUGUUGCACUUGUCCUUGAGAAGACGAAGCAUCACCAAACAUAUCAAUUCCACCCGAGGCAGAUGCAAGUGAAGGCGGCUCAGGACUCAUGCUCAUUACUUCGUUGGUGCUGUCAUGUCAUGAAACGGAUGAUUGCAGAUUACCGAACAUUACCUGUUGGGAAGAAAAAAAAAUGGUGCUCUUGCAUUGGACACAAUUACAAGUUGGCAGUAUCUUAUGCCUUUGGCAAUUCCUUUGUGGUCCAUACCAGAGUGCUCAUUGCAUCUAAAAUGGUAAAGUGAAUGGGUGCUGUGGCAUUCAGGUGACCUUAUUCUCUUGUAUUCAUAUCCCUUUAAUGAAGAAACUUGUCUUCAGAGACUGCAACUCUCUAAAGUGUACUUGGACAGUUGAGCUAUCAUCACUUGCAUUA